UACGGGGGGAGCAAGCGUUGUUCGGAUUUACUGGGCGUAAAGGGCGCGUAGGCGGUCGUGACAAGUCACUUGUGAAAUCUCCGGGCUUAACUCGGAACGGUCAAGUGAUACUGUUGUGCUAGAGUGCGGAAGGGGCUACUGGAAUUCUCGGUGUAGCGGUGAAAUGCGUAGAUAUCGAGAGGAACACCUGCGGCGAAGGCGGGUAGCUGGGCCGACACUGACGCUGAGGCGCGAAAGCCAGGGGAGCGAACGGG
rnacentral:rRNA from 1 species